rnacentral:rRNA from 1 species
AAGUGCGAAUGCUGACAUAAGUAACGAUAAAGCGGGUGAAAAGCCCGCUCGCCGGAAGACCAAGGGUUCCUGUCCAACGUUAAUCGGGGCAGGGUGAGUCGACCCCUAAGGCGAGGCCGAAAGGCGUAGUCGAUGGGAAACAGGUUAAUAUUCCUGUACUUGGUGUUACUGCGAAGGGGGGACGGAGAAGGCUAUGUUGGCCGGGCGACGGUUGUCCCGGUUUAAGCGUGUAGGCUGGUUUUCCAGGCAAAUCCGGAAAACUAAGGCUGAGGCGUGAUGACGAGGCACUACGGUGCUGAAGCAACAAAUGCCCUGCUUCCAGGAAAAGCCUCUAAGCAUCAGGUAACAUCAAAUCGUACCCCAAACCGACACAGGUGGUCAGGUAGAGAAUACCAAGGCGCUUGAGAGAACUCGGGUGAAGGAACUAGGCAAAAUGGUGCCGUAACUUCGGGAGAAGGCACGCUGAUAUGUAGGUGAAGUCCCUCGCGGAUGGAGCUGAAAUCAGUCGAAGAUACCAGCUGGCUGCAACUGUUUAUUAAAAACACAGCACUGUGCAAACACGAAAGUGGACGUAUACGGUGUGACGCCUGCCCGGUGCCGGAAGGUUAAUUGAUGGGGUCAGCGCAAGCGAAGCUCUUGAUCGAAGCCCCGGUAAACGGCGGCCGUAACUAUAACGGUCCUAAGGUAGCGAAAUUCCUUGUCGGGUAAGUUCCGACCUGCACGAAUGGCGUAAUGAUGGCCAGGCUGUCUCCACCCGAGACUCAGUGAAAUUGAACUCGCUGUGAAGAUGCAGUGUACCCGCGGCAAGACGGAAAGACCCCGUGAACCUUUACUAUAGCUUGACACUGAACAUUGAGCCUUGAUGUGUAGGAUAGGUGGGAGGCUUUGAAGUGUGGACGCCAGUCUGCAUGGAGCCGACCUUGAAAUACCACCCUUUAAUGUUUGAUGUUCUAACGUUGACCCGUAAUCCGGGUUGCGGACAGUGUCUGGUGGGUAGUUUGACUGGGGCGGUCUCCUCCUAAAGAGUAACGGAGGAGCACGAAGGUUGGCUAAUCCUGGUCGGACAUCAGGAGGUUAGUGCAAUGGCAUAAGCCAGCUUGACUGCGAGCGUGACGGCGCGAGCAGGUGCGAAAGCAGGUCAUAGUGAUCCGGUGGUUCUGAAUGGAAGGGCCAUCGCUCAACGGAUAAAAGGUACUCCGGGGAUAACAGGCUGAUACCGCCCAAGAGUUCAUAUCGACGGCGGUGUUUGGCACCUCGAUGUCGGCUCAUCACAUCCUGGGGCUGAAGUAGGUCCCAAGGGUAUGGCUGUUCGCCAUUUAAAGUGGUACGCGAGCUGGGUUUAGAACGUCGUGAGACAGUUCGGUCCCUAUCUGCCGUGGGCGCUGGAGAACUGAGGGGGGCUGCUCCUAGUACGAGAGGACCGGAGUGGACGCAUCACUGGUGUUCGGGUUGUCAUGCCAAUGGCACUGCCCGGUAGCUAAAUGCGGAAGAGAUAAGUGCUGAAAGCAUCUAAGCACGAAACUUGCCCCGAGAUGAGUUCUCCCUGACUCCUUGAGAGUCCUGAAGGAACGUUGAAG